GUGUGUUUUCUUAAAAAAGAAUUUUUACGUUAUGUUAUUUUAUUUCUUUGAUGUACGGAUCAUUUGAUUAAUUUCAAUUCUACUUCAUUUAUAAAUAUUCUGAUCAGUUUCUGACAUAAUUAUAUCUGGCACUUACUGAUACAUUACUGAAAAGAUUGCACUUAAAAGCUUUAUGUGAAAGAAUACAACCACCAAAUCAUUUGUUGAAUUCCAAGAUUGUGUUGUCACGAACCUAAUGAGAUGCUAAUGAGAAAAGCUGAUAAAUCAUCACAUCUUUCGGAAUAAGAGUGGCAACAGUAAGAAAGGCUUGAUUUUUCUACGACCCGCAAUUCCAACUUCAAUAUACAACAUAUCUCGAUGGAAUCGAGAACCUGGAAAUAAUAAAUUCCCCAAUAUAUGUGUGUACAAAUUCUUCAUCACGCUGUAAUUUUUAUUACUUAUUAGUGCAUAUGUGCGAGUAUUAUUACUCACAUACAAAAAAAAAAAGGAAUUUGGUUCUUAUGACCCCUGUUAUAAAACAUUCUUCCAAAAAUGACAUUCAAAGUUGUCAUUUUUGAUUCAUUUAAUGAAGAAACUUAAUUUUUGCCAAAUAUGGUCAAAGACAUUUAAAUUGUAUUCAUCCUGAAAAUUUUACUUGGAAACUGGAAUUGAAGAGAUGUCGCCUGCUACUAAUAUGCAGAAAGAAGUGGUUUAAAAACGCAAUUUUCUCAUUGACCAUUUAAUGGAGAAAACAUAUGAUUACAAAUUUUGUCAUCUUUUCUCAUCUUCGGAAUUGAAAGAAUCGUUUACUGGUGCAUGCUAAAGAGAAACCAGAUACAUGUGACAUUUGUAAUAAAGCAUUUUUUCAACGGUCACAUUUAAAAAUUCAUGUAAU